GCCAUGGAGGCUGAAGAAACGAUGGAAUGCCUUCAGGAGUUUCCUGAACAUCAUAAAAUGAUCCUGGACCGAUUGAAUGGACAGCGGGAGCAGGACCAGUUUACCGACAUCACCCUCAUUGUCAAUGGACACCAUUUUAAGGCUCACAAGGCUGUUUUGGCUGCUUGCAGUAAGUUCUUCUACAAAUUCUUUCAAGAAUUUACUCAAGAACCUUUGGUAGAAAUAGAAGGUGUUAGUAAAAUGGCUUUUCGUCAUUUAAUUGAAUUCACAUAUACAGCAAAAUGGAUGAUACAAGGAGAAGAAGAAGCCAAUGAUGUAUGGAAAGCAGCAGAGUUUCUACAAAUGCUUGAAGCUAUCAAAGCCCUUGAAGUCAGAAACAAGGAAAACUCAGCUCCGCUAGAGGAAAAUACCACAGGGAAACGUGAGACAAAAAAAAAAUGAAAGAUUGCAGAAACUUCAAAUGUUAUCACUGAGUCAUUGCCAUCUGCAGAAUCAGAACCUGUUGAAAUUGAGGUGGAGAUUGCCGAAGGCACAAUCGAAGUUGAAGAUGAAGGCAUCGAGACAUUAGAGGAAGUGGCAUCUGCUAAGCAGUCCAUAAAGUACGUACAGAGCACAGGUUCCUCUGAUGAUUCUGCUCUAGCACUGUUGGCGGAUAUUAUCUGCAAGUACCAUCAAGGUGAUAGAAAAGGACAGAUUAAAGAAGAUGGCUGUGCAUCUGACCCCAUAAGCAAAUAGGAACACAUGAAAUCACACUCCACAGAGAGUUUCAAGUGUGAAAUAUGCAAUAAAAGGUAUCUUUGAGAGCGUGCAUGGAAACAGCACCUAAAUUGUUACCACCUUGAAGAAGGUGGAGUCAGUAAGAAGCAAAGAACUGGGGAAAAAAAUUCACAUUUGUCAGUACUGUGACAAACAGUUUGACCACUUUGGACAUUUUAAAGAGCAUCUUCAAAAACAUACAGGUGAAAAGCCUUUUGAAUGUCCAAAUUGUCAUGAAAGAUUGCUAGAAACAGCACCCUGAAAUGUCACCUCACGGCAUGCCAAAAUGGAGUAGGGGCAAAAAAGGGAAGGAAGAAGCUUUAUGAAUGCCAGGUUUGUAAUAGUGUCUUUAACAGCUGGGACCAGUUCAAAGAUCACUUGGUAAUACAUACUGGAGAUAAACCCAACCAUUGUACUCUAUGUGACUUGUGGUUUAUGCAAGGAAAUGAAUUGAGGUGGCAUCUCAGUGAUGCUCACAUUUCAGAGCAUCUAAUAGCAGAAGUUCUUUCAGUAGAAACACAUGUGCAAACUGAGCCAGUGACAUCAAUGACGACUAUAGAACAAGUCGGGAAGGUGCAUGUGUUACCAUUGCUUCAGGUCCAGGUAGACUCUGCACAAGUGACUGUGGAACAGGUCCAUCCAGAUCUGCUUCAGGACAGCCAAGUGCAUGAUCUGUAGAUCAUCAUCAGUGAACUUCCAGAGCAGGUCCAAGUGAGUUAUCUAGAAGUGGGUCGAAUUCAUACGGAAGAAGGUACUGAAGUACAUGUUGAGGAGCUCCAUGUUGAACGGGUAAAUCAAAUGCCAGUGGAAGUACAUACUGAGCUUCUAGAGGCAGACUUGGAUCACAUGACUCCUGAAAUCAUGAACCAAGAGCAGAGAGCACCUACCCAAGCAGAAGAUGUAGAGGCUGCCAGUGAAGAUCAUGAAGGUGCUGAGGGUUUAGAGAGAAAGCCAAUGGAAGAUUCCCAAAAUGAAAAGGCAGAAAAUGACAGAACUAUGCCCAUUUUACAAUGA